CCUACGGGAGGCAGCAGUGAGGAAUCUUGGUCAAUGGACGAGAGUCUGAACCAGCCAAGUAGCGUGAAGGAUGACUGCCCUAUGGGUUGUAAACUUCUUUUAUAUGGGAAUAAAACGUUCCACGUGUGGGAUUUUGUAUGUACCAUAUGAAUAAGGAUCGGCUAACUCCGUGCCAGCAGCCGCGGUAAUACGGAGGCUCCGAGCGUUAUCCGGAUUUAUUGGGUUUAGAGGGAGCGUAGGUGGAUUGUUAAGUCAGUUGUGAAAGUUUGCGGCUCAACCGUAAAAUUGCAGUUGAAACUGGCAGUCUUGAGUACAGUAGAGGUGGGCGGAAUUCGUGGUGUAGCGGUGAAAUGCUUAGAUAUCACGAAGAACUCCGAUUGCGAAGGCAGUUCACUGGACUGCAACUGACACUGAGGCUCGAAAGUGUGGGUAUCAAACAGGAUUAGAUACCCGAGUAGUC
rnacentral:rRNA from 1 species